rnacentral:lncRNA from 1 species
GGCUAUCAAACAAGCCCUAACUUUCUUCGCCGCCUUGUCUCGGUUCGACUCGUCUCCUCUCCCCUUGAAUAGCUUUCCAAAAUAUUUAUUUGAACAUAAUUUCCCAUCUUUAUUCAAUACACAACUGAAUCUGCCUGAGAUUACUCGCCAUUGAAAGUUGUUCUCACAACCAUGUAUUCUUUACCCGACGAAAUAUUCAUCUUUUUGGUUUUUGUUAAUCUUUUUUGGCCCUCAAUACUGUUUUGAAUUGAAGUAAAAGCACUUGCCUGAUUAUACUUUUAUGGAAUCUUGUUCUAAGGAUCAGGAAUUAGAUUUUCGGAGAAGAUUUUUCUUUUUUGUUUUCUGUUAAGAUUUACACAUCCCCG